rnacentral:tRNA from 1 species
GCCUGGCUGGCUCAGUUGGGAGAGCAUGUGACUCUUGAUCUUGGGGUUGUGAGUUUGAGUCCCACAUUGGGUA